rnacentral:lncRNA from 1 species
ACUAUUCAGUCAAAAUCAGCAAAAAGAGAAGGGAGAACAUGCCGCUUUUGAGGAUGAAGCUACGCUUCUUCCUGUCCCUUAUGCGACUUACAGCCUCUCAUUUGGAAGUGCUGUGUGGCUGGAGGAGCAGAAUUAUAAGUGAACUGAGUGGGGAGAAGAACUGGCCACACAAAAUCCUGAACAAGCAAUUUUACUGAAGAAACUAGACAAGACAGGAACUCCUUUCUUGAAGCAGAAUUGCUAUUCAGAAAAUGAAUCAUCCUGAUGUAGAAGCCGAAGGCAGAAACAGCAGAUUUAAACCAAAGUGCUCUUAGAUUUCUCAGUUUUGCUGUGAAUCAAUCACACAUUGACAAGAUUGUGCAGGUACAAUGUGAACAGCAUGACACAGCUCUUCUGGCAAUGUCACCUCUGCUAGGAGCUGCUAAGGCUAUUUAUACAUAAACUGGAAUUCUAGUUGAACAGCAGCAUUCCCUUAGUUUUAGCUUUGCUGAUGAAAGAGAGCUAGUUCAAAUAAAAUACAAACACCAGAGACUCUUGUUUUCA